rnacentral:rRNA from 1 species
AUACGGAGGGUGCAAGCGUUGUUCGGAAUUACUGGGCGUAAAGCGCGUGUAGGCGGUUUGGUAAGUCGGAUGUGAAAGCCCUCGGCUCAACCGGGGAAGUGCAUUCGAAACUGCCAGACUUGAGUACCUGAGAGGGAAGGGGAAUUCCCGGUGUAGAGGUGAAAUUCGUAGAUAUCGGGAGGAACACCGGCGGCGAAGGCGCCUUCCUGGACGGAUACUGACGCUGAGACGCGAAAGCGUGGGGAGCAAACAGAAUUAGAAACCCCAGUAGUCC